GAUGGUUCCUGAUGCUGAACUCAAGAGUUUCCCCUGGUGCAUCCAUCAGCGUCUUCAUCUCAUCCUGUUUGUGCAAAGCGAGGUGUACGGCGAAGUCCAGGUCGCCGAGGCCUUUCUAAACAGCUUCAGGGUGACGAAGAAGAGGAGCAGAGACAGGACACAGCCUUGUCUGUGAUGCUGAAGAAGUCCCGUUGACCAUUUCUUGGUUUUGCAGCUCAAUCGUCGACACAGAUCUUUGAAGAUGGUAACGAGAGCUCGAGGGAUUUGCGCUGUUUGAUUUCUACUAGUGGCUGAAAUUCAGAAUGACUCCACAUCACAGGUUGCUGUUACAAAAUUGCACCACUUUUAUUCAUUUAAGGCUUUUUAGUUUUUAACUUUACAUUUGGCUUCACUGCCCCCUCCCCCUGCCUCCCGCCGCCACUGUGGGUUUCCGUACUGGGAAGAAACCAGUUCAGACCAUUUCAGCACCAGUGUUUAAUCUCCCAGCAGCUUACUGGGUGUUUUUUUUCUUUAUUUUUUCAAAGCUGAUACAUCACUGGUUGAACUGGUUUCUUUUACAUUUCACUGGUCAUCAUGCCAUACAGAGAAAAAGAAGCAGAAUUAUAUCAGUACUGAGAAAAAAAAAUAAAAAUAAUUUCUUCGUAUUGUGAACUGCUCAUUCCAGUUUGCAUUCGGCUGUGGCUGCCAUGGUCACUUCGACGUCACAUCAGAUUGAGGACUGGAAAGCAGAGAGUGAAGUAUGUAAAUGUGCCUCACAUGGUCUGUGACACACUGCAAUGCAGCUGUAAGAGUGAACUUUAAUGCUUAAACACAUGAAAUGUAGUCAGAUUUUGUUUUUAGUUACAUUUACAUGUUCAUACCGGCUUACAGCUGCCGUACAGCGUUACCACUUCUAUUAAAUGUUUACAUGCUGCUCUUAAAUGCCAAAUACGGGCACUUAAAGUGAAGUGUUACCAUCUGCAUCAGCCCCUAUUUACUGUAGCUGUCAAGGCCUCAGUGCGCUUUAAAUGAAGUGUGUAAAGACUUUAACACACGUCUGUUUCUGUCCAAACAUUCAGACCUGGCUUCGCCGUCUUCAAAGCAACAAUCGCAGCUACUUUUCAGUCUGCAGCAUCGUUGCAGACGUGUGAAAAUAAGGCCUAGCUCCCUGUCUUGUGAUUUCACACAGCUGCUUCUGUUGAUUCUCACAAGAUUAAGAGAUCUAAAGAACUUUUUUCCAAAACACCAGACUCGUUUCUUCAUCUUCUUAAACCACACUGACGCCUUCAGAAGUCACAGGAAAUGACGAAUGGCACCACAGCCUCUGGGCGAAGGCCUGAAAGGUCCAAGUGCAGCCACGGCUGGCCGUGGAAAUGACUGAAAGUUUUUUCUGAGGAUGAAACCCCCGUGUUAAAGCAAGAACCCUAACAAACUCACUUUGAAGCAGUUCUAAACAGAUAAAAGGACAUUUCAAGCAUUUAUCACCUCAUUUCUCCUCUUAAAUGAAUUACUCAUAACCAUAAUCAACUAUAAUCAAAUAAAUGAAUACAUAAUAUGAAGCGUCUCUAUUGAUACAUGAAGAAAUACUUUCCAACACUGAGAAUACACUGCAAUGCUCAAUGUAUAUGUGAAUAAACAGUUAAAAUAAACAUAAUAACACCAUUAUAUGUAACUAAAUAUGCUUGCUAAUCAUCAUUAAUCAUCAGUCAUCAACUGCUAAUACACCAGUUAUGGAUACUGUGUAGGAGAAGUGAUAAAAUAUACUUAAAAAUGGCCUCAUAUUGUUUUAAACUGUCAUGAAAGUGGCUUAUAAACAUUAUCAAGAGUACGAUGGGGUGUAUUUUUUAUAAUCCAUGUUUGUUUUUGGCUAUAAAAGGUGCUCUGCACUGCCCCUUGUGGCGUACACAGAAACAUCUAUUAUA